GAAGAAAACAAACUGUGGGCAGAAGCCAGAACCAGAAGGCAGAGAGAAACUAUUGAAGAGCUGUAAGCCUUGCCCGCAGUUUCGUUCAGCUUGUCAUAGAAAAAUCUUCUUUGACGAAAGGGAAGAAACAAACCCUAAAUUAGGAGCUUCAUUUAAGAUGGACUUUUGAGGCCUUUUGUUUUUCUGAUCUCCGAAACCCUAAAUCAAGAAUAACUGCUCGAAAGUCGAAACUCAAAAGCGUAGGAAGCAAUGGAUCAACCUCAGCCCGUUUGUUCGCAGGAGGCUUUGGCUCUUCUCAACUGCGUCACUGAGUCUCCUUAUGAUCAAGAAAAAUGUGUCCGACUCAUGAAUUCCUUGCGAGAUUGCGUGCUCAAUAAGAAAGUGAAGUUGUUCUCCUUAGCCAGACAGAAUCAACCAGACGUAGAUUCAAAGAGCAAGGAAAAGCAUUAACAGGUUUGAAGAAACAUACAGGGGAUUUUCUGACUUGAUACAUCUGUAGGCCAAUUUCAAAUUCAAUGGCAAGAGCUUUAGUUCCCCUCUUCUUCUUCUUCUUCUUUUUUUUUAAUAGGAAACAUUGGUCAAGUUGGACUAAAUCUGUUACAAAAUGGUUCAGUUAAAAGACUUUCAUUUACUGAGGUUGACUAAGUUGAACUUGAUCCUGUCAUUUAUGUAUGACAGGGGGGCUAGCUAGGAAACCCUUAAAAAGGGAAGGGAAAAACAGAUAAAUGUUACUAUGUGAGCAAUUUACUUCAAGUUUUCUCUCUUGAUGUUACAAAGAUGCAGAUCCUUUUUUAA